AGUGAACGCUGGCGGCAGGCCUAACACAUGCAAGUCGAGCGGCAGCGCGGGGGCAACCCUGGCGGCGAGCGGCGGACGGGUGAGGAAUUCGUCGGAAUCUGCCUUUUUGUGGGGGAUAACGUAGGGAAACUUACGCUAAUACCGCAUACGUCCUACGGGAGAAAGUGGGGGACCGCAAGGCCUCACGCAGAAAGAUGAGCCGACGACCGAUUAGCUAGUUGGUGGGGUAAAGGCCCACCAAGGCGACGAUCGGUAGCUGGUCUGAGAGGAUGAUCAGCACACUGGGACUGAGACACGGCCCAGACUCCUACGGGAGGCAGCAGUGGGGAAUAUUGGACAAUGGGCGCAAGCCUGAUCCAGCCAUGCCGCGUGUGUGAAGAAGGCCUUCGGGUUGUAAAGCACUUUUGUCCGGAAAGAAAUCCCUGGAGCUAAUACCUUCGGGGGAUGACGGUACCGGAAGAAUAAGCACCGGCUAACUUCGUG
rnacentral:rRNA from 1 species